rnacentral:piRNA from 1 species
UGUGCAGCGACGGACGGCGCAGUGCUCA